rnacentral:rRNA from 1 species
ACUCCUACGGGAGGCAGCAGUGGGGAAUAUUGCACAAUGGGGAAACCCUGAUGCAGCCAUGCCGCGUGUGUGAAGAAGGCCUUCGGUUGUAAAGCACUUUCAGUAGGGAGGAAGGUAGUGUAGUUAACACCUGCACUAUUUGACGUUACCUACAGAAGAAGCACCGGCUAACUCCGUGCCAGCAGCCGCGGUAAUACGGAGGGGUGCGAGCGUUAAUCGGAAUUACUGGGCGUAAAGCGCAUGCAGGCGGCCUGUUAAGUCAGAUGUGAAAGCCCGGGGGCUUAACCUCGGAAUUGCAUUUGAAACUGGCAGGCUAGAGUCUUGUAGAGGGGGUAGAAUUUCAGGUGUAGCGGUGAAAUGCGUAGAGAUCUGAAGGAAUACCAGUGGCGAAGGCGGCCCCCUGGACAGAUACUGACACUCAGAUGCGAAAGCGUGGGGAGCAAACAGGAUUAGAUACCCUGGUAGCACAGAG